rnacentral:rRNA from 1 species
UGCUGAAGCUUAACUUCAGUACGCCAUGGAAACUGAUAGACUUGAAUACUGUAGAGGCAAGUGGAAAUUCCUAGUGUAGCGGUGGAAUGCGUAGAUAUUAGGAGGAACACCAGUGGCGAAGGCGGCUUGCUGGGCAGUUAUUGACGCUGAGGAACGAAAGCGUGGGGAGCAAAUAGGAUUAGAUACCCUAGUAGUCCACGCCGUAAACGAUGAAUACUAAGUGUCGGAAUAUCCGGUGCUGAAGUUAACACAUUAAGUAUUCCGCCUGAAUAGUACGGUCGCAAGGCUGAAAUUCAAAGGAAUUGACGGGUCCCCGCACAAGCGGUGGAGCAUGCUGUUUAAUUCGAAGACACGCGAAGAACCUUACCUGGGCUUGACAUCCUCUUGACCGCUCUAGAGAUAGAGUUUCCCUUCGGGGCAAGAGAGACAGGUGGUGCAUGGUUGUCGUCAGCUCGUGUCGUGAGAUGUUGGGUUAAGUCCCGCAACGAGCGCAACCCUUAUCAUUAGUUACUAACAUUUAGUUGAGGACUCUAAUGAGACUGCCGGUGAUAAACCGGAGGAAGGUGAGGAUGACGUCAAAUCAUCAUGCCCCUUACGUCCAGGGCUACAGGCGUGCUACAAUGGCAGGUAUAAUAAGCC